rnacentral:rRNA from 1 species
UGAGGAAUCUUGCGCAAUGGGGGAAACCCUGACGCAGCAACGCCGCGUGAGUGAGGAAGGUCUUCGGGUCGUAAAGCUCUGUCAGGCGGGAAGAAAUGCAUGGAGGUGAACAGCCGCCAUGCUUGACGGUACCGCCAGAGGAAGCACCGGCUAACUCCGUGCCAGCAGCCGCGGUAAUACGGGGGGUGCAAGCGUUGUUCGGAAUCAUUGGGCGUAAAGAGCGUGUAGGCGGCUUGGUAAGUCAGAUGUGAAAGCCCUGGGCUCAACCCGGGAAUUGCAUUUGAAGCUGCCAGGCUCGAGUAGGGGAGAGGGAAGUGGAAUUCCUGGUGUAGAGGUGAAAUUCGUAGAUAUCAGCAGGAACACCGGUGGCGAAGGCGACUUCCUGGCCCUAUACUGACGCUGAGACGCGAGAGCGUGGGUAGCAAACAGG